GAAACGACUGCUAAUACCGCAUAAUGUAUUUUGAUGGCAUCAUCGAGAUACCAAAGAUUUUAUCGCUGAAAGAUGGGCUCACGUCUGAUUAGCUAGUUGGUGAGGGAACGGCUCACCAAGGCUGCGAUCAGUAGCCGGACUGAGAGGUCGAUCAGCCACAUUGGGACUGAGACACGGCCCAAACUCCUACGGGAGGCAGCAGUGGGGAAUAUUGGACAAUGGGCGCAAGCCUGAUCCAGCCAUGCCGCGUGAGUGAUGAAGGCCCUAGGGUUGUAAAGCUCUUUUGUGCGGGAAGAUAAUGACUGUACCGCAAGAAUAAGCCCCGGCUAACUUCGUGCCAGCAGCCGCGGUAAUACGAAGGGGGCUAGCGUUGCUCGGAAUCACUGGGCGUAAAGGGUGCGUAGGCGGAUGGACAAGUCAGAGGUGAAAUCCCAGGGCUCAACCUUGGAACUGCCUUUGAAACUUUCCAUCUUGAGGUCGAGAGAGGUGAGUGGAAUUCCGAGUGUAGCGGGUGAAAUGCGUAGAUAUCGGGAGGAACACCAGUGGCGAAGGCGACUUCCUGGCACAAUACUGACGCNUCAUGUGCGAAAGCUAGGGUAGCGAACGGGAUUAGAUACCCCGGUAGUCCUAGCCGUAAACGAUGGAUACUAGGUGUGGGUGUCGCAGGGCAUCCGUGCCGCAGCUAACGCGUUAAGUAAUUNCCCGCCUGGGGAACUUUUACCCGGGUCGCNAAGACUGAAACUCAAAGGAAUUGACGGGGGCCCGCACAAGCGGUGGAGCACGUGGUUUAAUUCGAUGCAAACCGAAGAACCUUACCUGGGUUUGACAUGCAGGUGGUAGAGAGAAGAGAUUUG
rnacentral:rRNA from 1 species